rnacentral:lncRNA from 1 species
AAAUUAUUUUAGGCAUGGGAUCAAAGAAGAAACUUCUUUGUAGCAGCAUCCCAGUACUAGGACUUUUUGUCUCUGCAUGGAAAUCUGAAUAUAUUUAUAUGUUGGAGUGACAUCUCUACAGGAAGCCUAGAGACCUAACUGUUUGCUACAUGUCACCAAAGUUAAAGUGGCUACCUUAAUGAGCAGCCAGGAUGCCAUCAUCUCCGACCUGAAUGACAAUAACCUCCAAACCAGCCUUUGUAUACUCCUUCCUGCUGCUCUGCAGUCCACUUCCACAGACCAGCCAACUGAAUCUCCUUAUAGAUUCAUAAUGGCCAUCAGCACAAAGAUGUUUUAUCUGCAGUCAACCAGUCAUGUUUCAUGAUGGCAUCAAAAUCUAAGAAUUGAUGCUUGUUCAACUGGGAUCUAUCCAGAGAAACAUAAUCCACUUCAAGAAUUUUCUGAAAAGGGAAUCUAAUGCAAGGAAUUAAUUGCAAAGAUGAUGCAAUAUCUGAGAACGAUAGAUUUGACAGUUUGGUCUACAUUUCAAGGCUGGUUAGAUGGGAGGUAUGUCCUGGUAUAUUAGUUAAUUUAGGUAUAUCUUACUGAUUUACAUUGCAUGAUUUAUCAGAUGCUAUUGACUCAUUCAAGUAAAUACAUUUAAAAAUUAUACCUUUUGCUCAUACUAGUAAUUGGGUCAGUCAUGCUCUUGAAGGAGGCAUACUGGGAGCCAUACAUUACCAGAGGCAGAGGAUUCAAUGGAUGUUUUCUGUUUUCUCUUCUUCGUGCUCUGUAAUUGAGACACAGAACAAAGGAGGAAGACUAAGUGCUCUGCCUUAACUCAGGCCAGGCUGUGGGCGCAAGUGCACCAACGGCUUUGAGACUAACACACAGCUCAGAACAAGGAGGUGAAAAUCUGACAGCUCAAAAUGAAGCAAAAACCCAAGAUUAAAACAGACACCAUUUUGUGCCCACUCAGUCUUCUUUCCAGGGUCAUACAUGUGUUUAUAACCGCACUUCUACAUUCUAUUAUGAGGGCAAGAGUUGUGGCUGCUAUAUAAAUGCUUCCUAGCAUAGUUCCUGACAACUAGGUGAUUCAUGAAUAUUUGCUGAAGAAAUAAAAAUAACUUUAUGAA